UAAUUCUAAGGUAUUAAUAUUGUUUUCCUUUGUUCUUUUCCAUAUGUAUAUGUGUGAUAGAGGAUUAUAUGUAUUGGUUGUUAUUGAAAGGUGAUGGAAAUAGGGUUAUGGACUAUUUUGCAUGAUUUGGUUGUAUUGAAUUGUGGAAGGUGGAUAUGGUAAUUGAGUUAUGGAAGGUGGAUAUGGUGAUAUACUAUUGAAUUGAUGAUUAUUUAUGUCUAUGGCUCAAUUUGGUUUAAUGGAUUGGUUGGAAGGAUAAAUGAAUCCAAACUUGAUAUUGGAGGAUGUUGUAUGAAUAUGCAUGGCAUGUGAAUGUAAUUGGAGUAUAAGAGGGUUAAAGUGACACCCUUUAUGGUGUAAUUAAGGCUUACUACUUAACCACUAGUUUGGUGAAUUCAAAUAAUUGAAUUGUGACGUU
rnacentral:lncRNA from 1 species